ACACUUACCUGGUAGAGGAGAUACCGUGAUUAUGAAGGUGAUUUUUCCAAGGCAAGGUCACCCAUCAACCCCAGUGGUUUCCCCAAAUGUGGGAAACUCGACUGCAUAAUUUGUGGUUGUGGGGGACUGAAUUUGUGCUUUUGCCUA
ensembl:snRNA U1 U1 spliceosomal RNA